rnacentral:rRNA from 1 species
CACGUAAGAAUUUACCUUUAGGAGGGGGACGAACAGUUGGAAACGACUGCUAAUACCCAAUAUGCUUUAUAGUGAAACGGUUUUCCCGCCUAAAGAGAAGCUUGCGGCUGAUUAGCUUGUUGGUAGGGUAAAAGCCUACCAAGGCGACGAUCCAUAGCUGGUCUGAGAGGAUGAUCAGCCACAUUGGGACUGAGACACGGCCCAAACUCCUACGGGAGGCAGCAGUGGGGAAUAUUGGACAAUGGGCGCAAGCCUGAUCCAGCCAUGCCGCGUGAGUGAUGAAGGCCUUAGGGUUGUAAA